CUAAAAGUGGAGCUGCUCAGAGGAUGGGGAGCAGAGAGAGGAAUCCUGGGGACAUUGGCUAAGCCCUAAUUUAAGUUGUGCCUGAAGCUCCCCUGGAUCUUUCAACUUUUCAGCAUCUAUCAGCCAAUACAUUCUUUUCUUUUAUGAGAAUUUGGGCUGAAUUUUCUGUCACAACCAAAAGAAGUGUUUUCCUUAAUGAACACACACACACACACACGUACACACAGACACAUAUGGACACACAUACACACGUACACAUAGACACAUGCACAUACAUACGUACAGACACACACAUAUGCAUACACACACAUAUACACAAACGUACACACAUAUACACACACACACAGAUGUCCCUGAUUUUUCUUUAUUUUUAUUGCUUCUGAUUUAAGUAUGCUUCAUUUAAUAGACAGGGCAUUUUGUUUUCUUUUUUUACACCAGCACUGAACAAUCAAACUUUCUUCAGGGAUGGAAAUGUUUUACAUCUGCACUGUCCAGUGAAGUCCCUGGACUGGGUAAAAGUGCCUAGAAAGAGAACGUUGACAAAGAAAAGAAGAGGCCAAGGAUGGGGGUCUGAUGAAGGAGGAAGAGCUAGCAGAUGAGAAAUGGCCAGUAGAGUUGAAGGAGUCCAGAUAAAUGCGUAGCACAGAAGCCUAGAGAAGAACAUGUCUCAAGAAGGGGGAACCGACCAUUCCUACUGUGUGCAGCUGAGAAAUCAAAGAAGAUGUGGGUAGAGAACUGCUGUUACUGAUAAAUGCCCAUUCAGUGGUGUGGCAGAGAUGAAAGCCCAUUGGAGUGGGCUGAGGAUGAGAAUGAAUGAUGAGGAAACGUAGACCUUGGGGUUGGAUGACUCCCUCCAGAAAUUUUUCAGUAAAAGGAAACAGGGAACUGCGCAAUAGUUAGAGGGAGCAUGGGAUCACUUUUUUUGAGAGAGAUGAUACUAAGUAAUUUUUAUAAUAUAUGCUAGUAGGAAAGAUCCAGUAGUGAAGGAGAAGUCAGUGGUGCACAAGAGGAAGGAGACAGCUUCAGGAUUGACACCCUUGAGAAGGUGAGAAGGGCUGGAUUCACAACAUACACAUGCUUCUCCGCAAACAGGACCCUUUGUGUCUAAUACAGCACUGACUCAGUAAAUAAACUGAAACUUGAAAAGGUAGAAACAGAAAGCCAGUGUUCUUUCCCACCACCAUGCCACAGAACUACCUUUCUCAACUUGUACUUUCCUGCUCCUGGACAAAAGCUCCAGAACAUCUCAUGGCUUUUUCAAUUACUCUCAGAUAACAACAACAACAAAAAAAUCCAUUAGUCAUGUUUAGCACCCUGUGUAUUAUCAACACUCCAAAAUUUAAUUUUAAGUUUCUCCUCUCCUCUAGCUCUGGCCUUUGCCACACCAGGAAAUCACCAGUGAGGGAAGGGUAGGAGAAGUUGCUUCUCCUUUCCUGCUUGCUUCACCUCAUCCACAGUCAGUCUGACCUGCUGGUUUGUUUUUGUUUUGUUUUGUUUUGCUUUUUUGGCAGUUCCAUGGCUGGAAUCCAGUAGGUAAGAAAGGUAAAAGAAAGGCCUUAUUCAGUUGGUGUGUUAUAAUUCAGCAUAGAUGCCCUUUCAGGAUGCAGAAUUUAAGUACUAAUUUUCUCUCUUCUGAAGCAUUUUUAUAGAUUCUUCAAAGACAUCCAAUAGAUAAGAAUCUCCCAAAGAGAUCAGCUGGACCCCUGCCCCAUGGUUUCCGACAGUUCAUCUCCAUCUGUUGAGGUCACCUUCUCUCAAGGUCCUCUCGGUGUCUACUACAAAAUGAUCCAAUCUAGUCCCUUCCAUGGGGUUCUCAUCUGACUGAGGGGAAACACCUUUGCCCCACCAAACCCUGGAAGUACAACUUAUGACCAAUGAAACUCUCUAUUCCAUGGCUCCAGAGCAGCAAACUAGAGACAGUCUCCCCUCUUCAAACUUCUCAUGUUUUCCUUCAUACUCCGGGGGACACGUGUCAACUUCUCUGAGAGUUUAUCUUCCAGCUCUCCUUAGUUGGUUUGAAAUGGCAGGUGUAUUCCCUCCCCUCCCUCCCCAAUGCCCCCACACACUGACAACUCUCUCCAAAGAUGCUCUCCACCCUGGCAUCUCUGAUCCUCUCUAUUAUGUCACCUGGACCUGGCCAAUGGACUAAUGCCAGCAACACAGAUGUCACUGUCUCUAAGCAUAUCCUGCCUAGAUGGUUCAAUACCUCCCUUUGGAAUACUGGAAUAUUUGGUUCUCAAACUUGGGGUACCUGCCAAAACUCUGAGAGCAAAUGAAUCUCAUUUUAAUAUUCUACAGAAAUCCAUAAAAAGAGGGUGAGUGCAUAAACAGUCAGUGUCACUGCUGUGGCCAGAGUUUGCCUGAUAUUGCAUUUGACUUUCAUAAAUUAUUCCUUCCAGCAUCCUUCUUCCUAACCAUUUAUCUUUCUUAUACUCUACAGCAGAAGUAGGAAGGGGCAGGGAGACCACAUGCCAUUACAAAGGUUGUUAACUGCACAAGGCACCUGGCUGAGGAGGUGAAUGGUAAAUAAAAUAUAAAGUACUGUUUGUUUUAGGUCCCCAGCUUGGGGCUGCACAGUCCUUGAGGGUAACCUGUUUUAUUUCAUUCUCAAAAAGGUGUCUCAUGGCUUAGCAGAGGCCCUGGAAAGAAGCUACAGAAACACAGGAGGAAUCACUCGUCCAAACAGAAUGAUAAUGGCUCUGUGGUAGAAGAGAGAGCACUAUAAUAGUAGUAUGAGAUUUAUCUUUGCCCAAAAGGAUGAUGUGACCUAAUACAGAAAAUCCAGGAGGCACACUGAUUGGGGCUGGCAAGAAGGGAUAAGCAAAGAUAGACUCCAACCAGGAAGAAUGAGCAGAAUUUGAACUGGAUUAAAAAGAUUCCAGACCCUGCCCAUGGGGUUAGCGAUGCGAUCUGAGUACACCUCCCACCCCUUUCCUUGCCUGGAACAUUUGACCCUCUGAAGUCAUCCAAAAGAUCUGGAUCAGGGGUGGCUAAGAAACUACGUAUGUCUAUGAAUGAUGGAGGUAAUGGCUGUUUGCAUCUCCCUUAGGUUAAUACUCAGAAAUAAAUAUAAAUUCUAGGAAGGAAGCUUCUGAUUGUGUAGUUAUGGUAAAUUACUUUGGUUUAAACUACCAACUGUACCUGGACUGGUGAGAGAGUGAGUGAGAGUGAGCAAGUAAGGCAAAAGAGAGAGAGACUGAUUAUGGUUAUUAAGUUUCUCGAAAACCCUUAGCUACAUGUUGGCUUCUUCUUGAUAUAACACAAAACAAACUACUCUCCUAAGUAAACCAAGAAUAUUAAAAACUUCUUUUUUUUUUUUUUUUUUUUUGAGUCAGGGUCUCACUCUUUUGCCCAGGCUGGAAUGCAAUGACGUAAUCACAGCUCAUUGCAUCCUUGACUUCCCAGGCUCAAGUGAUCUUUCCACCUCAGCCUCCCAAGUAGCUGGGACUACAGGCACAAGCCAUCAUGCCCAGCUAAUUUUUAUUUUUUUAAAUCUUUUUGUAGAGAUGGUGUCCCAUUGUGUUGUCCAGGCUGGUCUUGAACUCCUGGCCUCACGCGAUCCUCCCACCUCAGCCUUCCGAAGUACUAUUACAGGUGUGAGCCACUGCGCCUGGUCAAAAAAUUCUAAUCCUUAAGAGAGUAACACAAAGCCCUAAGGUAAAUUACCUUGUUUAUUAUAGAAUAAAGGUAGACUUAAAGGCAGGUACUUUCUUCUCCUAGCUCGCAUUGCAUUUAGUAUUCAGUAUAACCUGCUAUUUAUAAAGUUAUCCAAAGGCAUCUUGGCAUGAACCAAACCACACAGACAAGAUAACAUCACUUCCCUGGGAAUUGCUAAGCUUCCUUUGGUCUCUCCCCUGUCAGCAGAGGCAGAGAGGUGCUGCCUCAAUCCUAGCAUACUGGAGACAUGAUUUUUCCACUGCAAGUUGCAUCCUAUUCCAUAGCCACAUGGGAUCCUGACAACUGAGGACUAAAGUAGACAGUGAGCCUCUGAGCAAAUUCACUGUUGAUGGGCUUGUCACUAAAAAUUCACUUCAGUUGUACAGAACCAAACCAAGUAUUACAGGAGAAGGGAUUUGCCUCGCAACCAGAAAAUAGACGUUACUCUCCAUACUAGCCUUAGAGAUUCUCAGCACUGCAGGACAAUAAACAUGAGCAGGUUGGACUCCUUGCCUGAUGUGAGAAUUCCUCUGCAGCAUCCUUGUCAAAUUCUCAUCUAUUGGUAGAAGUAGAAUUGCUGGGUAGAAGAAAAGCACAUUAUUACCUUUAUCGGCACUAAGAAAUCACACUCCGAAAAGGUUAUAACAAGUUAUACUCCCUUCAAUUAGGUUUUACGUUGUCUCCUAUUCUCACUAAUACCAGACAUUCAACAUUAUGAGAUUAUUUAGUUUUGUCAAAUCUGAUUUACCAAAUAGUAUAUCUGCAUAUAUGCAUACCUAUAUCAUAUAGAGUGGGUAUUUUAAUUUUUUUUUUUUUUUUGAGAUGGAGUCUUACUCUGUUGCACAGGCUGGAGUGCCACUGUGCCAUCUCAGCUCACUGCAACCUCGGCCUCCUGAGUUCAAGUGAUUCUCCUGCCUCAGCCUCCCAAGAAGCUGGGAUUACACACACACCACCACCAUACCCAGGUAAUUUUCGUAUUUUUGUAGAUACGGGUUUCACCACAUUGACCAGGCUGGUCUCAAACUCCUGACCUCAAGUAAUCUGCCGGCCUUGGGCUCCCAAAGUGCUGGGAUUACAGGCAUGAGCCACCACACUCGGCCUAAUUUGUAUUAUUGAUAUUAGCAGGUUUAUUGCUAAUUAGUGUUUCUUCUUUGAGUUUUUCUUUUUCCUUAUUUUUUUCUGUAUAAGCCUUUGAUCUGCUAUGUAUGUUGCAAAUUUUUCCCCAUCUUUCUCACUUGUUCUUUAACUUUGUUCAGAGUAUAUUCUGUCAUGUAAAUAUUUUAAAUUUUCAUGUGGUCAAAUAUGUUGGUCUUUUAGGAUUUCUAGGUUUUACACUGUGCUUAGAAAGGCCUUUCCUAUCUCAUGAUGAUAAAAAUACUCAUUCUUCUGGAGUUUUGUUGUCAUCUUUUUGCAAAUCAUUUAUUCAUCUAGAUAGAGCCUGAAUAUAAAGAUCUAACUUUUUUCUUUCCAAAUAGUUUAAAAGACCUCUUAUACCUCCAUUCUCCAAUCUGAAUAGCUGAAUGAAUGAGAGAGUGAAAAAUAGUACUGGCAAUUAGUUGAAUGGGCUCUUACUGUUUUUCACCACCGCCUCAGAUCCAGGACAAAGGGAAGGGACUGAAUUCCCAUUCUGCAGAGGUUACACCUCCCUCCUUAUUUUGUCAUAUCUUCCCUGAGUCUAUAUAAUAAUUAGUUAGCAAAAUAACAUAAUUGGAAAAAAAGCUUCUCUGAGAUGUGUAGAUACUUUCUCAAAUGUGCACUGACUAAGGUCUUAUCAUAAUUUUCUUAAGGAACAACUCUCUUUCCAUCCUAAAUGCCAGACCAAUGAUAUGAUCUUUGGCAAUGUACUCUGGAAGAAAUAAAGUAGCAUCUCAUUCAUUCCUUGCUGUCUUCAGAUGACAGUCUAUGGAGUAUGGGUGUAUUUGUAGGGGUGAAAGUGACAAAAAAGAAGGCAAGCCAUAUGAAGAUUAUAUCUGCUUAAAAUUGACACGUUUAAAUUUCUGCAAAGAUUCCAGACACUGUUUUAAGACAGCUGAAAAACCACUAAACUAUUCUGCCCACAUGCCCCAAAUAUUCUAUCUCACCAUAACCCUCUUGGAUUUACACAUACCAAAAUGCUCAAGGGCCAUUUCCUGAAUUUCUGCCAAAUGUUCCGAUAACACUUCAGCUUAGAUUAAUUCAAAUUCCAAGGAAAACACCAAAGUGAUUUAUGACAAGGAAAAAGAGAUAUUUAAACUAAAAACAUAAUCAACAGUAAUUUACAAACUGAAGAUAAUUUUAUGUCACUACUCAAUUUUGGAAAAGCAACUCUUGUAGGAAUUUCCCUUCUCUCCCCCAGUGUACAAAUAGCCAGACUUUUCAUGUGGACAUCACUAUUUACAGUAAAUGGAAGACCUUGCAUCUCACUUCUAAAAAUAGGAAAAGAAGACCACCAGAAUCUAGAAGAGCUGCUGUCAGAACUUAUGAUAGGAAGCAAGUGACUCUGAGGUGCAAAGAGUGGACUGCGGUGAACCUGCAGUGUAUCACCCAGGUUUAUCGCCCCCUUCAGGACUCAAGCACUCAUUUCCCCACCUGCAGGGAAUGUUGGUGGCUAACAGCUAUCAGCUCUUGCUCUUCAGGCAUUGCCCUUUGCUGAACAGUUUCUUUGCCCAAGAUCACAUCCCCAUCCCAGGGACAUCUGAUAUCCAAUGAUUAACUGAUGUAGGGCUAUAAGACCAACCUCAAUUCAAAAUAACCUUGAAGGGUUAUUGCAGCUACACAGCCACUGAUGGGAUUAGUGAAGUUUUCUUACAACUGCAUCAGAAUUCUCCUUCUCCCUGUGCCCAGUAAUGCUAUCUACACUUUCCCAAAAGUACCGAUCUCAAAAGGACUCCUCAGUAACGUUCCUGCAUGCAAAUCUCCAUCUCAUAAUCUGUGUCCCAAGGAACCCAACCUGCAAUGCAUGCAUUGUCUCAUUUGAUCCUCUCCACAAGAUCAGAACUGCUAUUAUCCCUAUUUUACAGUGGAAAUUCAAGCCCCAAGAGCUUCAGUAAACUUGCAAACUCCCUGAUUUUAGAGUCUAUGCUCUUAACCAACCUGGAUCAGCAAACUGUAAUCCCUAUGCUAGAAUUAGGCAAAUAUUUCCCUGGAUGAGACGCUCUAGGUGCAGCCAGCUGAGCACUAACUAGUCAGAUGUUUCUUUUCAUCAUGUGUUCCCUGGGACCUACCUGGAAAUUUCAAAGGAAGAGGAGUCCUCCUGACAUGAUCAGCUGCCACCCCAGCCACCUGGGUCCCAGAUCUCAAGAUAACUGGAGUGACCCAAAUGCAGAUCUUGGUCUUCUGAAUCCAGUUGUUUAAUAAGUGAUUUGUGGCUGGACAGUUACAUAACUGUAGAGAUCACCCAGGUUUGUAUGGGGUCUCACUUCCCUCUCCACCCUCAGAUUGUCUGUCCCUCCCUAGAGUAAAGCUACGUCACAUAGUCUCCCCCAAGUUCCAAUGUGUUAGUGCCAGAUAUACGGAAUGCUUGUUGGGAAUGUGGCUUAAACUGUCUCUACUGUGACAGAAGGACAGACUGUCAUCAACUGCUGCAGGUAACCUAGAAACCCUUUGUCUUUCACAACAACUUUUUGUUAUUUUAUUCUCUGAGCCAUCUCUUAGACAAUGUCUGGAUUCCCAUCAACUUCUGCACAUAAACAAUAUUUAUAAGUAACCAGGCAGAGCAAUGGAGUGUGUUUAGUCAUUUUGCAUAAGAACUUCCCUUGCACAAGUUCUAUAUAUAACUCAGUUGGCAACCCCCUUUUCUACCCAUUGAGGCACCAGUGCAGAACAUGUUCUUAGGAGCACUCACAGCCCCUCCACUGUGGGUUUCUUGAGGUAAUAGAAAGAAAAUUCCAGGUGUUACUGUUCCCCAACCCCUUAAAUACACAGCCCCCAGUGUCUCCUACACUUAGCCCCCAUUACUCCCAAUCAUGGUUCCUCUGUUUAUGAAGGUCUGCCUCCUUCCUCUGCCCCACAUGUCAACCUCAUUUCUGUCCUUGUUCUCUUCCCAUGGCACUUUCCAGCCUUCUCCCCACAGCAGGAUCUCCUUUGACUCUCUUCAAUAAUCUGCAUACACUGUGUGCUUCCCCAAGAUACCAUCCCUGAAGAGCCCCAUUUCACUCUGACUAUUCACAAAGCCUCAUUAGCAUGUUCUUGUACAGUACUCACUAGCUUUGAAUGGAACCUCAUGCCCUUUUAGAGUCAGAAUACUAAGUUCAGACACUGCCACUUACAGGAAUGUGAUCUGGGGGAAGUUCCUUAACUUCUCCAAGCUUCACUGUUUUCACUUGUAAAAUGGCAAUAGUAAAGCCUACCCAAUGUGCUUGCAGAGAGGACGAAUGAGGUAACGCAGUAAAAAGUAACCUUUAAAUUUUAAAGUUCUAUAUGAAUGUGAGUUAUCAUUAUUGUGUUGUUUCUCCCCUCUGAGCUCUCUGAGGUCACAUCUUUUACUUCCUUUCUCUCCCUGGGUCACACACAGUGACAGUAACACUGUAAGCUAAUAUUAGAUGCAGAAUUAAGAAUGAAUAAAAGAAAACCACUCACCAAUCAGAAUUAGGCAAAAUCCUAACCAUAUUAAAUCUAUUGUAGACUGUUCCACAG
rnacentral:lncRNA from 1 species